GAUGAAGAACGUAGCGAAAUGCGAUAAGUAAUGUGAAUUGCAGAAUUCAGUGAAUCAUCGAAUCUUUGAACGCACCUUGCGCCCUUUGGCUAUUCCGAAGGGCAUGCCUGUUUGAGUAUCAUGAACACCUCAACUCUCAUGGCUUGCCAUGACGAGCUUGGACUUUGGGGGUCUUGCUGGCCUGUGGGUCGGCUCCUCUCAAAUGAAUCAGCUUGCCGGUUUUUGGUGGGCAUCACAGGUGUGAUAACUAUCUACGCUUGUGGUUUUCCACCAGGGUAACCUUCAGCAGUGGAGGUUCACUGGAGCUUACAAAUGUCUCUCCUCUGUGAGGACAGCCCUUUGAAUGUUUGAUCUCAUAUCAGGUAGGACUACCCGCUGAACUUAAGCAUAUCAAUAAGCGGAGGA
rnacentral:misc_RNA from 1 species